GAGCCUGUAGGUCACUGGAUGGAGCGUUUGUUUCCUAAGCAGAAGGUCAUAGGUUCGACCCCUAUCUGGCCCG
rfam:Gossypium raimondii chromosome 7, whole genome shotgun sequence.